rnacentral:rRNA from 1 species
GGNAUAAUAUAUUGGAAACGACUGCUAAUACCGCAUACNCCCUACNGGCGGAANGGAGGGGACCUUCGGGCCUUUCGCGAUUGGAUGAACCCAGGUGGNAUUAGCUAGUUGGUGGGGUAAUGGCUCACCAAGGNGACGAUCCCUAGCUGGUCUNAUAGGAUGAUCAGCCACACUGGAACUGANACACGGUCCAGACUCCUACGGGAGNNAGCAGUGGGGAAUAUUGCACAAUGGGGGAAACCCUGAUGCAGCCAUGCCGCGUGUGUGAAGAAGGCCUUCGGGUUGUAAAGCACUUUCAGCGAGGAGGAAAGGUUGGCGCCUAAUACGUGUCAACUGUGACGUUACUCGCAGAAGAAGCACCGGCUAACUCCGUGCCAGCAGCCGCGGUAAUACGGAGGGUGCAAGCGUUAAUCGGAAUUACUGGGCGUAAAGCGCACGCAGGCGGUUGGAUAAGUUAGAUGUGAAAGCCCCGGGCUCAACCUGGGAAUUGCAUUUAAAACUGUCCAGCUAGAGUCUUGUAGAGGGGGGUAGAAUUCCAGGUGUAGCGGUGAAAUUGCGUANAGAUCUGGAGGAAUACCGGUGGCGAAGGCGGCCCCCUGGACAAAGACUGACGCUCAGGUGCGAAAGCGUGGGGAGCAAACAGGAUUAAAUACCCUGGUAGUCCCGCCGUAAACGAUGUCNAUUUGNAGGCUGUGUCCUUGAAACUGGCUUCCGGANCUANCNCNUUAAUC